rnacentral:rRNA from 1 species
UACGUAGGUGGCAAGCGUUGUCCGGAUUUACUGGGCGUAAAGGGCGUGCAGGCGGUCUGCUAAGUCUAGGGUGAAAGCUCCCGGCUCAACUGGGAGAGGUCCUUGGGUACUGGCGGACUUGAGGGAGGUAGAGGAGAGUGGAAUUCCCGGUGUAGUGGUGAUAUGCGUAGAUAUCGAGGAAGACACCGUGGCGAAGGCGGCUCUCGUGGG